rnacentral:rRNA from 1 species
UCUUACGGCCAUAUCACGUUGAAAGCACCGGUUCUCGUCCGAUCACUGAAGUAAAGCAUCAUCGAGCCUAGUUAGUACUUAGAUGGGUGACCGCUUGGGAAACCUAGGUGCUGUAAGCA